GUAGUUCGACUCGUUCCUUCAGUAUAUAAGGUCGCCCUAAACCCUUACUAGCCCCCCACUUUGCUUUUUCUAUUCUUGGUAUAUAUCAUCAGAUCUAGGGUUAGAGAAUUAGGGUUUCCUCCAGUCCUCCGCAGCCCUCUAAUCCGAUUUGGAUGAGUCGAUGAACGACGAAGAUGAUCUGAUCUGAUCUGAAAGAAAAUCCAGUCAGUAUUUGCGGGUGGAGCAUCUUCAAGAUUCACAAUCUAUAAGGGGCGUCUUAGGCUUAACUUUGUUGAUAAAGCCAGCCCCUUAAGUUAGAUAUGGGAAUCUUGAUGAUGCUGCAGCGGCAAAUAA
rnacentral:lncRNA from 1 species